GACGAACGCUGGCGGCGUGCUUAACACAUGCAAGUCGAGCGGUAAGGCCCUUUCGGGGGUACACGAGCGGCGAACGGGUGAGUAACACGUGGGUGACCUGCCUCUAGCUCUGGGAUAAGCCCGGGAAACUGGGUCUAAUACUGGAUAUGACUCCAUGACGCAUGUUGUGGGGUGGAAAGCCUUGUGCGGCUAGAGAUGGGCCCGCGGCCUAUCAGCUUGUUGGUGGGGGAUGGCCUAUCAAGGCGACGACGGGUAGCCGGCCUGAGAGGGCGACCGGCCACACUGGGACUGAGACACGGCCCAGACUCCUACGGGAGGCAGCAGUGGGGAAUCUUGCGCAAUGGGCGAAAGCCUGACGCAGCGACGCCGCGUGAGGGAUGACGG
rnacentral:rRNA from 1 species